rnacentral:lncRNA from 1 species
GAGGGAGGAGUUAGGAGUAUUUGUGAAGUCACUCGAAAAAGCAGCAGCCUCACGUGAUGUUGUGAAUCUGAGUGAACAGGUUGGGGAGCUUAUAUCGAAUAUUGUGUGUAGAAUGAUACUUGGCCGCAGUAAGGAUGAUAGAUUCGACCUAAAGGGGCUUGCUCGUGAGGUUCUGCGUUUGACUGGAGUGUUCAAUAUUGCAGAUUAUGUUCCUUGGACAGGCUUCUUGGAUCUUCAGGUAUGAGCUUCAACUACAUGAUCUUAUUUAAUCCCUUCUUAUACCUUUCAUCAAAGUGCUACUUUCCCUUCUAAAUAUAUAGUCCCUUAAGUAAUAAAAUUGAUUAAGCACUUCUUGUAAAAUAGUAUUGAAUGUUUGCAAACUCGUGAUUAACUUACCCCUUAAUGGGUAUUUUUUUUAAAAAUCUACCGCCAUUUGUUAAUAUUGAAAAAGAAUUGUCCCCUUUGGAUAAAAAACCGUAAGUGGUUAGGCUAUAUUAACACAUGAAGCAUAGUAAAUAUUGUUGGAUUUUUUGACUUGGAUUGUACAUUUGUGUGAAGUUUAUUACUACUAUAUAUGCCACUUAAUCAUUUAGAAAAUCUACAACAGGGACUAAAAGGAAAAAUGAAGAAAAUGAGUAAGGCAUUUGACGAAGUGUUUGAACAAAUCAUAAAAGACCAUGAAGAUCCUUCUGCAAGCAACAAGAAUAGUGUGCACUCUGAAGAUUUUGUGGACAUACUGCUAUCACAUAUGCACCAAGCUGUGAAUCAGCAAGAGCAGAAAUAUGUCAUUGGUAGAACUAAUAUCAAGGCAAUUAUAUUAGAUAUGAUUGCAGGGUCAUUUGACACAUCAGCUGUUGCAGUUGAAUGGGCUAUGUCGGAACUCUUAAGGAACCCAAGUGAUAUGAAGAAACUUCAAGAAGAGUUAAAUAAUGUAGUGGGGGAAAAUAAACUAGUGGAGGAGUCUGACUUGUCAAAGUUGCCUUAUUUGAACAUGGUAGUAAAGGAGACCUUAAGGUUAUAUCCGGCUGGACCCUUGCUAGUGCCUCGCGAGUCCCUAGAAGAUAUUACUAUUAAUGGUUAUCACAUAAAGAAGAAGACAAGAAUUUUAGUCAAUGCAUGGGCCAUUGGACGAGACCCUAAAGUUUGGUCAGAUAAUGCUGAUAUGUUUUGUCCAGAGAGGUUUGUGAAUAGCAAUGUAGACAUUAGAGGACAUGACUUUCAACUUUUACCAUUUGGUUCUGGUCGAAGAGGAUGUCCUGGGAUUCAAUUGGGUCUGACCACAUUUGGCCUUGUUUUGGCUCAAUUAGUGCAUUGUUUCAAUUGGGAGCUUCCAUUUGGUGUGUCUCCUGAUGACUUAGAUAUGAGUGAGAUAUUUGGCCUUUCACUACCAAGAAGCAAGCCCUUGCUAGCUAUACCAACUUAUCGCCUAUUUAUCAAAGCUUAACUAAGGGUCCUUUCGAUUGAGUAGAAAAAAAUAAAAUAAAGAUCAAAUGGUUCAUUUAUCUUUAGAAAAAUUCAUUUUAGUUCUUUAUCUUUUUAAAUUGCCUGCUUAGGAUUGGUGAGCUUCUUAUUGCAGGAAUUAGGAUGGAUCUAGAUGUUUAUGUCUGAGUCAUUGUAAAAUCAAUAAUGUAUUUAUAUAUUGAUUCUACUCAGAUCUUCAAAUCAGAGGUUUUGACUUUUUAGAUCUUCUCUCUGGAGGCUUCUUCAUAUUUACUUCUCUACAUGUUUAGAGUUUCUCAUGUAUGUUGGCAUACGACCAAGUCUAUAGCUUUUACUUUUUAUCUUUUAAUAAUAUGAAAUGGAAGUGGGCCGGCCUUCGGAUAUUUACUUAUGGUCUGAGUAUCUCUUUUUGAUCUUGGUUGUUCCCUUGGUGUUGAUUCAUGAUAUGAUAUUGGACUUGUUCCUUUAUCAUUCUUUUAAUAAGUGACAUUUUUAAUUCAAUUUUAUGAAUAAAUAUUAUUAAAAUGAGUGACUGUGAUAUAACAUACAGUAAUAUUUUUUUAAUGGCUGCUAUUAAAACAAAAUCCUUUAAUCGGGAUUCAUCAAAGACCCAUAUAUCUCAUUUAAUAUUACAGUUGUUAAUUAAUAGCACUUUGAUAAUAAACCGGCAUCUUUAAAUAUUACUCCCUAACAUUUAUGUUUUUUUAAUUAAGAAGAGUAAUAAAUAAUUUAAUUAAUAAAAUAAUUUCACUAAAUUAACAAAGUUUACAUAUUGAAUUAACAAUAACAUUUUAAAAAUUUAGAGGGACUAAAAAUAUAUUUUACUCAUUAUUUAUUUAUGAAAAAACUAGAAUAAAAAUUUAACGAUCCAUUAACAAUUUAAAACAUCGAAAGCACCACUUAAUAUGAAACCUUAUUUUGAGUUUAAAUAUCACUUAUUUUAAGAUGUAUGAAAAUCUAUUUUUAACGUAUUAGAUUUUAAAAGAGUUUUACUUACAUUAAUUUAAGGAUAAAAUAAAUGUUAGAUUAGAAGAAUUAAUUUCUCCUACGGAUAAAAUAAAAAAAAAAAGAAUUAAUUUCAUUCAAAUAAUAAAAGAAAAAUACACUUCCGACUCCACUACUGCUCUCAUAUGUUUGUAUGUACAGGUUCUUCGGCCAGUCAAAAAAUAUGAAUUGAAUCCAAUUAUCGAAAACGAACUUUUAUUUAAUUAUCUUUUCUGUCCUUAUCUCAACCCCCAGUGUGGAUCAUGUGGCUACUAUUAACUCGUAUAUUCUCAACGGAUGGAGGUUUAAUUUUUUCUGUCCUUCAUAAAAUUUUGCUUGGUGGGAAGUAUCCUAUUUUUUAUAAAGUUAUUCUGAGACACCCAUCAAACAUAUACUUUAUAUUGUUAAAAGAAAAAAUCUCUUGCAUCAUUAUAUAAAUGCCAUAUUGGUGUAUAAGACCCAAACCAUUCUCAUUUUCCAUCAAGCAAACGAUAAGAAAUGUUAUCAGAAACAUUGGCCAUCCCUGCAGUACUCCUUGCAAUACUCAUUUUGAUUCUAUCCUCUGUCUUGUUCCAUCUUCAAGAUGAAAGAACAAAUCCACCAGGUCCUAAACCCCUCCCAAUUAUUGGUAACCUUCACAUGCUGGGGAAACUCCCCCAUCGCUCCCUUCAAGCCCUUGCCAAAAAUUAUGGACCCAUAAUGUUCAUAAAGUUGGGACAAGUCCCAACCGUUGUAGUUUCCUCCCCUGAAACUGCAGAGCUAUUCCUCAAAACCCAUGACACUAUCUUUGCUAGCAGGCCAAAAACUCUAGCUUCAGAAUACAUGUCUUAUGGAAGUAAGGGCCUAGCGUUCUCUGAGUAUGGACCCUAUUGGCGUAACGUGAAAAAGUUGUGCACCACACAACUUCUGAGUGCAUCAAAGGUCGAGAUGUUCGCUCCAUUGAGGAGGGAGGAGUUAGGAGUAUUUGUGAAGUCACUCGAAAAAGCAGCAGCCUCACGUGAUGUUGUGAAUCUGAGUGAACAGGUUGGGGAGCUUAUAUCGAAUAUUGUGUGUAGAAUGAUACUUGGCCGCAGUAAGGAUGAUAGAUUCGACCUAAAGGGGCUUGCUCGUGAGGUUCUGCGUUUGGCUGGAGUGUUCAAUAUUGCAGAUUAUGUUCCUUGGACAGGCUUCUUGGAUCUUCAGGUGUGAGCUUCAACUACAUGAUCUUAUUUAAUCCCUUCUUAUACCUUUCAUCAAAGUGUUACUUUCCCUUCUAAAUAUAUAGUCCCUUAAGUAAUAAAAUUGAUUAAGCAAUUCUUGAAAAGUAGUAUUGAAUGUUUGCAAAGUCGUGAUUAACUUACCCGUAAUUUUUUAAAAAAAAUCUACCGCCAUUUGUUAAUAUUGAAAAAGAAUUAUCCCCUUUGGAUACAAAACCGUGAGUGGUUAGGCUAUAUUAACACAUGAAGCAUAGUAAAUAUUGUUGGAUUUUUUGACUUGGAUUGUACAUUUGUGUGAAGUUUAUUACUACUAUAUAUGCCACUUAAUCAUUUAGAAAAUCUACAACAGGG